ACAUCACAGCAAUUGUCUGCAAACAGCUGAACUGUGGGGACGGAGGGCAGAUUGAAAAAGACUUUACAUAUGGAAAAGGUUCUGGUCCCACGUGGCUGGACCAUGUUGCAUGCAAUGAGCAGCACAGGUUCCUUUGGCAGUGCCCAUCAGACAUGUGGAAACAGCAGUCCUGUGAUAACCGCGCAGAAGAGACCCAUAUUUCCUGCAGUGGACAAAAAGAGAAACCACCUCAGACCCUGUUUGCCGAAUGCCCGAACUCUCCAAGCUGCACAGACCAGGAGAAGUUACGUGUCGUGGGAAGAGAGGACGGAUGCUCGGGGAGAGUGGAGGUUUGGUACCGUGGCUCCUGGGGAACAGUUUGUGAUGACUCCUGGGACAUGGCGGAUGCUAACGUUGUGUGUAAACAACUGGGCUGUGGAUCUGCUGUAUCUGCCCCGGGCGAGGCUGCAUUCGGUGAGGGGACUGGUCCCAUAUGGGUGGAGACGUUGAAUUGCAGAGGGACAGAGUCAUCUCUCUGGGACUGUCCUGCCAAGCCCUGGGGUGAAAGCAACUGUGGCCAUAAGGAAGAUGUUGGAGUGAAUU